rnacentral:rRNA from 1 species
AAUUGCCUACGGGACGCAGCAGUAGGGAAUUUUCGUCAAUGGGCGCAAGCCUGAACGAGCAAUGCCGCGUGAACGAGGAAGGUCUUCGGAUCGUAAAGUUCUGUUGAAGGGGAAAAAGAGCGGAGAGAGGAAAUGAACUCCGAUUGAUAUUACCCUUCGAGGAAGUCACGGCUAACUACGUGCCAGCAGCCGCGGUAAUACGUAGGUGGCGAGCGUUGUUCGGAAUGACUGGGCGUAAAGGGUGCGUAGGCGGUGUAGCAAGUUAGAAGUGA